rnacentral:rRNA from 1 species
AACGGGGCGCAGCAGGCGCGAAAACUUCGCAAUGCGGGAAACCGUGACGAGGGAACUCCAAGUGUCUAUGCAUUGCAUAGACUGUUUUUUAGCCUAAAUAGCUAAAAGAGUAAGAGGUGGGCAAGACCGGUGCCAGCAGCCGCGGUAAUA